UUCUUUCCAGCUUCUGACUAUUAUAAAUAAGGCUGCUCUUAUUUAUAAUAGCCAGAAGCUGGAAAGAACC
ensembl:miRNA Gm22694 predicted gene, 22694